rnacentral:rRNA from 1 species
UACGGAGGGGGCCAGCGUUGUUCGGAAUCAUUGGGCGUAAAGGGCGCGUAGGCGGCCGGGUAAGUCUGACGUGAAAUCCCUUGGCUCAACCAAGGAAUUGCGUCUUAAACUGCUCGGCUUGAGUCCGGGAGAGGGUAGUGGAAUUCCCAGUGUAGCGGUGAAAUGCGUAGAUAUUGGGAGGAACACCGGUGGCGAAGGCGGCUACCUGGACCGGUACUGACGCUGAGGCGCGAAAGCUAGGGUAGCAAAC